GAGGGUGCAGCUCAAGUGGCAGAGCACAUGCUUAGCACGCACAAGGUCCUGGGUUCAAUCCCCAGUGCCUCCU
rnacentral:tRNA from 1 species